rnacentral:rRNA from 1 species
GACGAACGCUGGCGGCGUGCUUAACACAUGCAAGUCGAACGGAAAGGCCCUGCUUUUGUGGGGUGCUCGAGUGGCGCACGGGUGUGUAACACGUGAGUAUCCUGUCCUUGUCUUUGGGAUAACUUCAGGAAACUGGGGCUAAUAUCGGAUAGGAGCUCCUGCUGCAUGUUGGUGGUUGGAAAGAUUCGGCGGUUGGGGAUGGACUCGCGGGUUAUCAGCUUGCUGGUGGGGUAGUUGCUUACCAAGGCUUUGACGGGUAGCCGGCCUGGGAGGGUGAACGGCCACAAUGCGACUGAGAUACGGCCCAGACGCCUACGGGAGGCAGAAGUCGGGAAUAUUGCACAAUGGGCGGAAGCCUGAGGCAGCGACGCCGCGUGCGGGAAGACGGCCUUCGGGUUGUAAACCGCUGUCGCCUGUGACGAAGCGUGAGUGACGGUAAUGAGUAAAGAAGCACCGGCUAACUACGUG